CCCUCCUCUGGUCAUUGUUGGUCUUGUGGCCUAUGUGAAGACCCCUUGUGGCCUUCGCACUCUCAACUCUGUCUGGGCUCAGCACCUUAGCGAAGAUGUGAGGAGAAGGUUCUACAAGAACUGGUGCAAGAGCAAGAAGAAGGCGUUCACAAAGUAUGCCCUCAAGUAUGACUGUGAUGCGGGCAAGAAGGAAAUCCAGUUGCAGCUUGAGAAAAUGAAGAAGUAUGCCACUAUUGUCCGUGUUAUUGCCCAUACUCAGGUGUGAUGGCCAUUUCCCUGUUCAUCUUGGUCAGUAUUCUGUUUAUUGUAAAAUAUUUAACUCACCAUUGCUAUGCCAUUUUUCUGAAUAUCAGAUUAGGAAGAUGAAAGGCUUGAAACAGAAGAAGGCUCACCUCAUGGAGAUCCAGAUUAAUGGUGGCACCAUCGCAGACAAGGUUGACUAUGGCUACAAGUUCUUUGAGAAGGAAGUCCCAGUUGAAGCGGUCUUCCAGAAAGAUGAAAUGGUUGACAUCAUUGGUGUCACCAAGGGUAAGGGGUACGAAGGUGUCGUCACUCGCUGGGGUGUGACCCGCCUUCCCCGCAAGACCCACAGGGGUCUCCGAAAGGUUGCCUGUAUCGGUGCCUGGCAUCCUGCUAGGGUUUCCUACACUGUUGCUCGUGCUGGUCAGAAUGGUUACCACCACCGCACAGAGAUGAACAAAAAGAUUUACAAGAUGGGCAAGUCUGGACAGGAGUCUCACGAGGCCUGCACUGAGUUUGACAGGUAUCUUUGAGUGAAUCUGACUACGUGCAUGCUAUCAUCUGUUGUGCUCUUGAACAUUUUCCAUGAAACUGACGGCCAUGGUGGUGCUUGCAGGACUGAGAAGGACAUCACCCCGAUGGGUGGCUUCCCUCACUAUGGUGUGGUGAAGGGUGACUACCUCAUGAUCAAGGGCUGCUGUGUGGGCCCCAAGAAGAGAGUGGUGACCCUCCGCCAGUCCCUGUUGAAGCAGACAUCGCGGUUGGCCCUUGAGGAGAUCAAGCUCAAGUUCAUUGACACCUCAUCCAAGUUCGGGCAUGGCCGGUUCCAGACCACUGACGAGAAGCAGAAGUUCUACGGCAGGCUCAAGGCUUAGGCUGCGACAGAUCUUAUCCCAUAGUGUUACCAGCUUUUUUUCUUGCUUUGUGGCAGAUUGUUUGGGUAUCGGUUUAUGCAUUGCAAUUGCAACUCUGAGCUGCUGCGAAUGUUCGAACUGAUGAGGUUUAUGCAUUUUGAACUUUAUAGUAAUGCUAUUUGCAUGCCUUCAAAUUUGGAAGCUAAUGUUUCAGCUGCUGUAGCCUCUAAGUGGACAAUCGUGUUGCGUGUUUGUAGUCACGAUCUGGUAUCAAUCCUAUUCAUGAUCAGGGUCAUGGCGCAUAGAAUGAAGGAAAAUUUGGUUCAGAAAAAAUUG
rnacentral:lncRNA from 1 species